CGCCACUAUCUUGGGAGUGGUCCGCCACCAUCUUGGGAGUGCUAAGAACGAAAACUCACCCGUAACAACAUGCUAUUAUGGAAUCUCUGCAGGAGGAAGAAGGAGACGGAAAGGGUAAAAGGACUUCUUUCUCAGCUGUCAUUCCACUGCAAAGCAAAGCAUCUUCCUGGAAGACACACACAAUGACUUCUGCUUGGCUACUCCAAGAGAGUCAAGAAAAUGAGUCUUUAGCUGAGUUCAUCAAGAGUUUACUGUGGUCUAUAAAACAAAUGAUCAAACUUCUGCUUUUUCGUUACAAAAAAAAAUAGUGAAAAGCAAAUCUGUAUCUCUUUCUUGAG
rnacentral:lncRNA from 10 species